UAAGGCUGAUAUCAGGAUGAAAUAAAUCAGAGCAGUGCUUGGCACCGGUUAGUACUCGCUCACUCAGUGUCAGCUAAGGGACAAAUCCUGGGAGGCUGCCAUGUGCCAGGUCUGUGCUGGGGGCUGGUCGUAGAUGGUUGGCAGACACAGACUCGCCUCCAGGGCACUUGCAGGAAUAAUGGGGAGACUGGGACAUCAACAGAUCAUUUCAAAGGGUCACUGCCCAAGCCCAAGAGGCUGCAGCGUGUGCGUCCAGAAACUUUACCUGGGAGGGGGUCCAGGAGAGGAGCAAAACCUACAAGGAGAGGCCUGAGGGCAUGGAGGGCAAGUUUGUGUUUGUUGCAGCCUUUCAGACAUGUCUUGCCUUGGGUGUUUGCGGCCAGUCCUCACACUCUGUACCGGUCAUCGGAUGAGAUGUUCAGUGAUUCUCUCUUGGUUUAUGGCCACUGCAGCUCUGAUGGGCCUGCUAGCGGACAGGACCUUGGAGUUGUUUGCAUUUGGGACUUAUACAAAAACACUUUUGAUGAACAUCUUUUAUACCAUAAACACCUGUCUGAACUUCUGUGUUCAAAGCAUAAGGGUGGAAUGGCUGCAUGAAAGAACCUGUUGUUCAACCACAUUCCACAGAUGUACCAGCUUUUAUUCCAAAAAGAAGCAUGUAUUUAUGCCUAUUUUACCACACCUUUGCCAGCAUCGAAUAUUGUAUUUAAACUAAUUGCUAGUUUUAUGGAUGAAAAACAAAGUUCCAUUGUUUUGUUUUAUAUUUCUUUGUAAAUAGCCUAUAAGACAGAACUUUCUCCCUUUGUUAUUUGUCUCUUUGUUAGAAAGUCUAUGGCACUUUCAUUUUUGUUAUUGAUAUUUAAGGCUUUAUGUGAUUUAAAUGCCCCUCUAAUUCUCCAUGCUCCCCGGGCUACCACAUGUAUUCAUGCCAUCUUCCCCCACCAUGGAAACCAUGCUGAGAAGGGGAUUUCAGCCCACUAGUAGAGGAAAAAAAUGAACUGAAUUGACUCAUACAUCUUUUUUUGAAUAAAUGUCUACUCAG